rnacentral:lncRNA from 10 species
CAUGAGCGCUUGUGCCAUGGGCUUUGCGGCCCUUCCGCAACAUUCCAAUGAGACACCAGGCCUGGCGAAGUCAACAUCCGCCCCCUUCCAGCAGUGCCCCUUAAAGCAUGGCACUGCACCAAGAAUAGGGGCGGGAAUUGGGGAAGGUGAAGAAGACCUGAUGAGGGUAACGGGCUGCCACCACGUCCAGGUAGCCCGGCAACGGUAGCACAGGGUGUCAGGCUGCAGAAGCCACCUCUGCCCAGCAAUGCCUCUCUCACUCAGCUACACGGUCAGCAGAUGAUUUACAUCCUCUAAGUGAGUAACCAAGCCUUGCUCUGAUUAAGUAAUCCUUCCCUUAACUCCCUUUUCUAAAAACGUCUUCACAAUCAUCUAACAUAACUGGUUCCCUCUGCCACAAAGUCAAGAAGCACCUUUUGAGGGAACAGUGGGAUCUGCGGCAGCCUUGGUUAGGAAGACGCGCCUUUCCAGCAAACAUGCCCACUAAGGUUUAGAAGCAGAGAUGCUGAAUUCUGCUCUGAAAAUAACAUUUUCUGAAGCAACAAACUUUGCUUUCUUUCAAAAUAAUUGCAGUGAUUAUUUUUGGUCUCCUGUAUUCAGCGACGUCUGCUGCCACUUCCACCCUCCAUCAAGGUGACUUUGAUAGAGACAAGCAGCCCAUGACAAGAUGAGUGACCUGCAAGGUGCAAUCACCAGUGGCCACCCCAGGCCGUCCCAGGACAAGGCAGAUGGGGUCUGCUAGCCUCUCACGUUAAGACUGGGAAACGCAAAGCGGCGGGUAUGAUGCAGAAGAGCCGGGGGUCACGGUGGUCUCCUGGAGAAGACGGCACUGGAGGUGAGC